GAUGAACGCUGGCGGCGUGCCUAACACAUGCCAGUCGAACGGAGUCGUUUUGGCAAUCUCUUCGGAGAUGGAAUUCUCGACUUAGUGGCGGACGGGUGAGUAACUCGUGAGCAAUCUGCCUUUAAGAGGGGGAUAACAGUCGGAAACGGCUGCUAAUACCGCAUAAAGCAUUACAUUCGCAUGUUUUUGAUGCCAAAGGAGCAAUCCGCUUUUAGAUGAGCUCGCGUCUGAUGAGCUAGUUGGCGGGUUAACGACCCACCAACGCGACGAUCAGUAGCCGGACGGAGGGGUUGAACAGCCACAAUGGGACUGAGACACCGCGCAGACGCCUACGGGAGGCAGCAGCGGGGAAGAUUGCGCAACGGGGGACGAAAGGACGCAGCAGCGCCGCGGGAUGGAAGAUGGACGUCGGGGUGUAAAGAUCUUUAAUCAGGGACGAAACAAAUGACGGUACCUGAAGAAUAAGCGCCGGCUAACUACGUG
rnacentral:rRNA from 1 species